GUGCUUGUUUGAGCUUGACCGCUGUGUAUGUGUCGCUAGUUGGGUAGAGAUUGGAACUAUCCUAUUGUUUCCUUUGUACUGGGUAAGUUAAGUCAGGUGACCUCAAGUAUUUGCCUUGAGGACACAUAAGGCACAGAUACAAACCUACACUAGAGCUGAAGUAACAGAGGAAAAUAUAGCAUUUCACUUCUCGAAAUGUAAGAGACAAUCUAUACAAACACAGGUGGAGAAUCCAACAAUGCAGAACAUGGAUAUUGAUGAGGACACGUAUCCCAACAAGCCCAGUUUGACAUUUUCAGCUAAUUUUCGGUGGUGGAAGAGACCCUCUGGAGUUGCUGCAGUGUGUCUGGGCCUGCUGUGUGUUCUCCUAUUGGCUGGGAUCAUAGGCCUGUCUGUCUAUUAUGGAGUCAUUGAUCAUCACUGCUCAACAGAGAGAGACCAACAAGCCAGUUACAGCCUUCUGACUAAAGAAGGAGAUCAGCAACCCACCAGCUAUCAUAACUUGACUAAAGAUGGACAACAGCUACACAGCAGUUACAACACCUUGACUAAAGAGAGAGACCAGCUACAGACCAGUUACAACACCUUGACUAAAGAGAGAGACGAGCUACAGACCAGUUACAACACCCUGACUAAAGAGAGAGACGAGCUACAGAGCAGUCUCACCACAAGGACCAAAGACAGGGACCAGCAGCAAAAUAGUCUUAAAGUUAGGACUGCUGAAAGGGAGCAAUUACAGAAUAGUCUUAACUCAAGGACCAAAGAGAGAAACCAGUUGCAGAAUAGUUUAAAUAACAGGACCGCAGAGAAAAAACAGUUACAGAAUAGUCUAAAUACCAGGACCACUGAGAGAGACCAGCUACAGAAUAAUCUAAAUACCAGGACCACUGAGAGAAA